rnacentral:ncRNA from 1 species
GAGAGCCGGAUGCGGUGAGAGCCGCACGUCCGGUUCGGCGGGCGGGCACGGGAAACGGACCCGGGGCAACCCGGGC